CCCUUAGAUGUUCUGGGCGGCCCGCGCACUACAAUGGCGUGUGCAGCGAGUGCCGAAGUAGAGUUUUCCGAGGUAUUCUUGCAAUGCUCGUUUUGAUGGGGAUAGACCCUUGCAACUGUUGGUUUUGAACGAGGAAUUCCUUGUAAGCAUGGUUUAUCAUCCGACGCUGAAUGCGUCCCUGCCCUUUGUACACACCGCCCGUCGCUCCUACCGAUGAGUCGUCCGGUGAAGUUCGUAGACCUCGUGAUCGCGGAUCACUGGGGGAAGCAAAAUGAACCUCGCGGUUUAGAGGAAGGUGAAGUCGUAACA
rnacentral:rRNA from 1 species